CAGCACUAAGGGGCGGAAACCCCCUAACACUUAGCACUCAUCGUUUACGGCGUKGACUACCAGGGUAUCUAAUCCUGUUCGCUCCCCACGCUUUCGCUCCUCAGCGUCAGUUACAGACCAGAGAGUCGCCUUCGCCACUKGUGUUCCUCCACAUCUCUACGCAUUUCACCGCUACACGUGGAAUUCCACUCUCCUCUUCUGCACUCAAGUUCCCCAGUUUCCAAUGACCCUCCCCGGUUGAGCCGGGGGCUUUCACAUCAGACUUAAGAAACCGCCUGCGAGCCCUUUACGCCCAAUAAUUCCGGACAACGCUUGCCACCUACGUAUUACCGCGGCUGCUGGCACGUAGUUAGCCGUGGCUUUCUGGUUAGGUACCGUCAAGGUACSCCCUAUUCGWACGGUACUUGUUCUUCCUAACAACAGAGCUUUACGAUCCGWAAACCUUCAUCACUCACGCGGCGUUGCUCCGUCAGACUUUCGUCCAUUGCGGAAGAUUCCCUACUGCUGCCUCCCGUAG
rnacentral:rRNA from 1 species